rnacentral:lncRNA from 1 species
UCGGUUUGGCCGGCCGACCGACCAAAUUUUAGCCAACCGAUCGACCGACCGGCCCCCCAAAAAAAUAACCGACCGACCGAAAACUGAUUUCCAAACCGGCCAAAAGCCGAACCGGUCAAAUUUAGGUUUUCGGCCGAUCGAACCGACCCGACCGCCCACCUGUGCACUUACUUCAAAUUUGCAGGUCGGCUAUGGCUGUUUCAAGCACGGAG